UACGGAGGAUGCGAGCGUUAUUCGGAUUUAUUGGGUUUAAAGGGUGCGUAGGCGGGCUGUUAAGUCAGCGGCCAAAUGUCGGGGCUCAACCCCGGCCUGCCGUUGAAACUGCAUCCCUUGAGUGCGCGAGAAGUAUGCGGAAUGCGUGGUGUAGCGGUGAAAUGCAUAGAUAUCACGCAGAACUCCGAUUGCGAAGGCAGCAUACCGGCGCCCAACUGACGCUGAAGCACGAAAGCGUGGGUAUCGAACAGG
rnacentral:rRNA from 1 species